rnacentral:snRNA from 1 species
UCACUUCUUGGCCUUUUGGCUAAGAUCUAGUGUAAUAUUUG